AACUCGAAGUAUUGGAGUUUUUGGAAAUGUGUGCACCCUACGAAAAAGAAGUAAGGAAAGUGAAAAGACGGCGAUUACGCGACCAAUCCAAUAAAAAUGAACAAUUUAGAAAACGUUAUAAUCUAAAUAAAGAUUUGGUGCGUAAUAUGCGUGCGAACUCAUAUGCCGUUAUCAUCGAAAUUUACAGACCUACCAGUGGAAACUAAGGUUUUAUAAUUGGAAUUUGGAAUGCUGGGUGUAUUGGGCUGUAUUUGACUGUACACAUGCCACCCCAUUGUAAAUUAAGAAGAGAUAUUACUGUAGAAAACAAUACCAUUCAUUAAAUAUAUAAUUGGUUAGUAAUGCUGACAUGGAGAUUAUAAGUGUGGAUGCCAACUGGAACUGGAGCUACUCAUGACAUUUGGGCAAAGCAGAGGCAUUAAGCAACAUCUAGAGGACUUAAGCUGGAAUAAAUCCUUAUGAUUACUUGGAGAUCCAGGAUAUGCUUUGGAGAAGUAUACUCCCAUCUCAAAUGCUAUACCAGGACCACAAGAAGCAUAUUACACUGUAAGAACAUGGAAUAUCAUUGAGAGCACAAUUGGGCUUCUAGAUUUAGAUGCCUACAUGUACUUUGAGUUCUUAUAGAGAACUAAAUGAAGGUCUAGCUGCUAGACAAACCCAUGUUGUUUAGUUGUGGAACUAAGAAAUUGAAACAUUUAUAAAUAAUAAUAUUGUUAAUAGGUCAAUGUUUUAAUUAUUUGUUUUUAUAAUAAAUGAUAUAGGUACAUUA